UUGAUUUAUAAACGGUAGGAACAAUUUUUUUUCUUCAUUUCUUUACUUCUUAUUCAACUAAAUUGUUUAUAUCAAUGAUAUGGCCAUUUCAUCUUUGUUGAUUAUGUCGUGGUCUAAAUUAUUUUUGUUUUACCAAACAGACGUUAAUAGUGCAAAAUGGAAACUGAGGUUUUCGUCUGGGGUGUGUUUUAUUGGUCUCUUCUGCACAUCUCCAGAAUGUCUUCUGGUGAAGAGUAAAAUAAGAAUUAAUUUUGACGUCGAAUAUAGCAGAUUUUUGUUAUGUUGGAUGACAUAAAUCAAGUUUUCGAUGACCAUUUUUUUUUUUUUUUUUAGAAAAUUAAGAUACGUCCCGUAGACAUGCAUGACUGUGAAAGUGUGCUCUGUUCGUUACAAUUCUUUUGUGCUUUCCUAUAUCUCAAUUUUUCUAAACAAACCAGGCUUAAUCUCCCGCUAUUUGAUUUUUAAGAUUAAUCUUAAACUGCACGAAAAAUCGUCAAUGUUUGUCAAUAUGACUGAUCAAAAAGUACGUCUCAG
rnacentral:lncRNA from 1 species